UACAUAGCAACGGGGAGCCUUCAUUGGCUGAGAGGAGCGCAGCGCGCUCGACCCGCAUUACCUGAUCCGGAUCAUGCCGGCGGAGGGAACAUAGACGCACCCAUC
rnacentral:ncRNA from 2 species